rnacentral:rRNA from 1 species
CCUACGGGAGGCAGCAGUGAGGAAUAUUGGUCAAUGGGCGGGAGCCUGAACCAGCCAAGCCGCGUGAGGGAAGAAGGUACAGCGUAUCGUACACCUCUUUUGCCAGGGAACAAAGGCGGGGACUAGUCCCCGGAUGAGGGUACCUGAAGAAAAAGCAUCGGCUAACUCCGUGCCAGCAGCCGCGGUAAUACGGAGGAUGCGAGCGUUAUCCGGAUUUAUUGUGUUAAAAGGGUGCGCAGGCGGCCGGUUAAGUCAGCGGUAAAAGCCCGGGGCCCAACCCCGGCGAGCCGUUGAAACUGGCAGGCUUGAGUUGGAGAGAAGUACGCGGAAUGCGCGGUGUAGCGGUGAAAUGCUUAGAUAUCGCGCAGAACCCCGAUUGCGAAGGCAGCGUACCGGCUCCACACUGACGCUGAGGCACGAAAGCGUGGGUAUCGAACAGGAUUAGAUACCCCUGUAGUC